AUUUGAAAGUUAAACCUCUCUACGUCGCAUUAUUAGCAGUAUAUCUUCGUCCUGUAGUUUUAAAUCUCCCGUUUUUACCCGCAUGACCCCGUUCAAGGCACAAGCUUUGGCGGAAACUUUUUAAAAUUUUUCAGGAUUAAUAUUAUGUCUAAUACAGUAACUGGCGUUGUAAAGUGGUUUAACGAAGCAAAAGGUUUUGGUUUUAUCGAGCAGCAAGGUGGCGCAGACGUGUUUGCUCACUUUAGCGCAAUCGCUAGCACCGGUUUCAAAACCUUAGCCGAAGGCCAAAACGUAUCGUUCACGAUUACGCAAGGUCCUAAAGGCCCACAAGCAGAAAACAUCGUCGCGCUUUAAUUAGCCCGAACGACCAAAAAGGGACCUAUCAGGUCCCUUUUUUUG
rnacentral:misc_RNA from 1 species